CGAAGAUGCCUGGGUAGCCGAUCAAAGGACUGAGGUGCACCACGCGGACUACAAGAUCAAGGUCGACGGCACGCGGCAUCUGGACGAACACUCCCGGAAACUGUGCCCGCAGCUCGACCACUUCGUCGUCUUCUCUUCGGUGUGCUCUGGUCGCGGAACGUCGGGGAGGUCUCUAUCCGGCUACGUCGACUCCACAUUAGAACGCUUGUGCGAGCGCCGCGCUGCAGACGGGCUUCCCGGACUGGCCAUCCAAUGGGGUUCCAUCGAUGGAGGCUACCUCAAUAACAAUUCCCAGAGCCCACAAACGAUGUUCGAGGGAACACAACCCAGCGAAUCAAGUCUUUCUUGGAUGUCAUGGAGAGGUUCCUUAACCAAAGCCACCCCGUAGUCUCCAGCUUGGUCAAGGCUGAAGUCGAUUCCAGUUCAGAGAAGAAGCCAGAAAAGAACCACCUCGUUGACGCGGUGACACGAAUUCUUGGCUUCCAAGAUUCGUCGACGCUGAACCAAAACAGCAAUCUCGGCGAGUUAGGCUUAGACUCCAUCAUGGGCGUUCAAAUACUAACGGUCAUCGAGAAGUGCACGGGCCGGCUCUCUCUGUGCAAGGAAUACGCCAGAUCACCCUCAACGGGCUGCGCGAAAUGAGCAAACAAGAACGUGCAAACUAAAGUUG